AGAACGAACGCUGGCGGCAUGCCUAACACAUGCAAGUCGAACGCUCUUGGGGCUUCGGUUCCAAGGGAGUGGCGCACGGGUGAGUAGCGCGUGGGAACCUGCCCUGGAGUGGGGGAUAACCGAGGGAAACUUCGGCUAAUACCGCAUACGCCGGGAAACCGGGAAAGAUUUAUCGCUCUAGGAGGGGCCCGCGUCGGAUUAGGUAGUUGGUGGGGUAACGGCUUACCAAGCCUGUGAUCCGUAGCUGGUCUGAGAGGAUGAUCAGCCACACUGGGACUGAGACACGGCCCAGACUCCUACGGGAGGCAGCAGUGGGGAAUAUUGGACAAUGGGCGCAAGCCUGAUCCAGCAAUGCCGCGUGAGUGAUGAAGGCCUUCGGGUUGUAAAGCUCUUUCGCACGCGACGAUGAUGACGGUAGCGUGAGAAGAGCCCGGCUAACUCGUGCCAGCAGCCGC
rnacentral:rRNA from 1 species